UACGUAGGGGGCAAGCGUUGUCCGGAAUCAUUGGGCGUAAAGCGCGUGUAGGCGGCUUGGUAAGUCUGCUCUGAAAGCCCGGGGCUCAACCCCGGGAGGCGGGUGGAUACUGUCAAGCUCGAGUCCGGAAGAGGAGAGUGGAAUUCCCGGUGUAGCGGUGAAAUGCGCAGAUAUCGGGAAGAACACCCGUGGCGAAGGCGGCUCUCUGGGACGGUACUGACGCUGAGACGCGAAAGCGUGGGGAGCGAACAGG
rnacentral:rRNA from 1 species